CAAAAGCUUGGUCCUGACUUUACUAUCAACUUUAGCUAAACUUACACAUGCAAGUAUCCGCACUCCUGUGAGAAUGCCCUACAGUCCCCCGCCCGGGAACAAGGAGCCGGUAUCAGGCACAACUACCCAGCCCAUAACACCUUGCUUAGCCACACCCUCAAGGGAACUCAGCAGUGAUAAACAUUAAGCCAUAAGUGAAAACUUGACUUAGUCAAAGCUAAGAGGGUCGGUAAAACUCGUGCCAGCCACCGCGGUUAUACGAGAGACCCAAGUUGAUAAAUAUCGGCGUAAAGCGUGGUUAAGAUAGACUGAAACUAAAGCCGAACGCCCUCAGAGCCGUUAUACGCACCCGAAGGUAAGAAGACCAAUCACGAAAGUGGCUUUAAACACCCCCCCCCUGAACCCACGAAAGCUAUGAUACAAACUGGGAUUAGAUACCCCACUAUGCCUAGCCCUAAACAUCGAUAGCGCACUACACCUGCUAUCCGCCUGGGAACUACGAGCACCAGCUUGAAACCCAAAGGACUUGGCGGUGCUUUAGAUCCACCUAGAGGAGCCUGUUCUAGAACCGAUAACCCCCGUUCAACCUCACCCUUCCUUGUUUUCCCCGCCUAUAUACCGCCGUCGUCAGCUUACCCUGUGAAGGCCCAAUAGUAAGCUAAAUUGGCACAACCCAAAACGUCAGGUCGAGGUGUAGCGUAUGGAGGGGGAAGAAAUGGGCUACAUUCCCUAACACAGCGAAUACGAACGAUGCACUGAAAUGUUCAUCCAAAGGAGGAUUUAGCAGUAAGCGGGAAACAGAGCGUCCCACUGAAACCGGCCCUGAAGCGCGCACACACCGCCCGUCACUCUCCCCCAAACCUCUAAACUUAAAUAACUAAAACCCUACUACCACAAAGGGGAGGCAAGUCGUAACAUGGUAAGUGUACCGGAAGGUGCACUUGGAAAAAU
rnacentral:ncRNA from 1 species